rnacentral:rRNA from 1 species
AACGAACGCUGGCGGCAGGCUUAACACAUGCAAGUCGAACGCACCUUUCGGGGUGAGUGGCAGACGGGUGAGUAACGCGUGGGAAUCUACCCUUCUCUACGGGAUAGCUCCGGGAAACUGGAAUUAAUACCGUAUACGUCCUGAGGGAGAAAGAUUUAUCGGGGAAGGAUGAGCCCGCGUUGGAUUAGCUAGUUGGUGGGGUAAAGGCCUACCAAGGCGACGAUCCAUAGCUGGUCUAAGAGGAUGAUCAGCCACAUUGGGACUGAGACACGGCCCAAACUCCUACGGGAGGCAGCAGUGGGGAAUAUUGGAAAAUGGGCGCAAGCCUGAUCCAGCCAUGCCGCGUGAGUGAUGAAGGCCCUAGGGUUGUAAAGCUCUUUCAGUGGGGACGAUAAUGACGGUACCCACAGAAGAAGCCCCGGCUAACUUCGUG